rnacentral:rRNA from 1 species
UAGGGAAUCUUCCACAAUGGACGCAAGUCUGAUGGAGCAACGCCGCGUGAGUGAAGAAGGUUUUCGGACCGUAAAGCUCUGUUGUUGGUGAAGAAGGAUAGAGGUAGUAACUGGCCCUUUAUUUGACGGUAAUCAACCAGAAAGUCACGGCUAACUACGUGCCAGCAGCCGCGGUAAUACGUAGGUGGCAAGCGUUGUCCGGAUUUAUUGGGCGUAAAGCGAGCGCAGGCGGAAGAAUAAGUCUGAUGUGAAAGCCCUCGGCUAACCGAGGAAUUGCAUCGGAAACUGUUUUCUUGAGUGCAGAAGAGGAGAGUAGAACUCCAUGUGUAGCGGUGGAAUGCGUAGAUAUAUGGAAGAAUACCAGUGGCGAAGGCGGCUCUCUGGUCUGCAACUGACGCUGAGGCUCGAAAGCAUGGGUAGCGAACAGGAUUAGAUACCCUUG